rnacentral:lncRNA from 1 species
UGCUUUGUUACAGUGUCGUUCGAUGUUGCUGCUACAGUGUCUCUGCUACAGUACCGUCGUUACUGUCUACCUUUUUUUUCUUUUUUUACCUGAAAUUUUUAGAAAACGAAGAAUCAGUAAUAAAUGAAAAUUAAAUCAUAUUUAAAACAAACCGAAUAGUGGGUUGCCUCCCACUCAGCGCUUAUUUUUAGUCAUUAGCUUGACUUCUGGAGAUCUGAUUCAGUCCGGAUGAGAAUGAGAACUUGCUCCAAACCAAGUCUCAAUGUCUACUCUUUG